rnacentral:rRNA from 2 species
UACGGGGGCCAGCAGGCGCGAAACCUUUACACUGCACGACAGUGCGAUAGGGGAAUCCCAAGUGCACAGGCAUAGCGCCUGCGCUUUGGUGCACCAUAAGGCGGUAGCAGAAUAAGGGCUGGGCAAGACCGGUGCCAGCCGCCGCGGUAAUACCGGCAGCCCAAGUGAUGGCCGAUCUUAUGGGCCAAAGCGUCCGUAGCUGGCCGCGCAAGUCCAUCGGGAAAUCCACCCGCCCAACAGGUGGGCGCCCGGUAGAAACUGCGUGUAUGGGGCCCGGCAGGCGCGACGGGUACGUCCGGGGUAGGAGUGAAAUCCCGUAAUCCUGGACGGACCGCCGAUGGGGAAAGCACGUCGCGAGAACGGAUCCGACAGUGAGGGACGAAAGCCAGGGUCUCGAACCGGAUUAGAUACCCGGGUAGUCCUGGCCGUAAACAAUGUCUGCUAGGUGUGGCUCCCACUACAAGUGGGUGCUGUGCCGCAGGGAAGCCGCUAAGCAGACCGCCUGGGAAGUACGUCCGCAAGGAUGAAACUUAAAGGAAUUGGCGGGGGAGCACAU